rnacentral:rRNA from 1 species
GACAGCGGAGGGAUCAUUACCGAGUUAUACAACUCAUCAACCCUGUGAACAUACCUAAAACGUUGCUUCGGCGGGAACAGACGGCCCUGUAACAACGGGCCGCCCCCGCCAGAGGACCCCUAACUCUGUUUUUAUAAUGUUUUUCUGAGUAAACAAGCAAAUAAAUUAAAACUUUCAACAACGGAUCUCUUGGCUCUGGCAUCGAUGAAGAACGCAGCGAAAUGCGAUAAGUAAUGUGAAUUGCAGAAUUCAGUGAAUCAUCGAAUCUUUGAACGCACAUUGCGCCCGCCAGUAUUCUGGCGGGCAUGCCUGUUCGAGCGUCAUUACAACCCUCAGGCCCCCGGGCCUGGCGUUGGGGAUCGGCGGAAGCCCCCUGUGGGCACACGCCGUCCCUCAAAUACAGUGGCGGUCCCGCCGCAGCUUCCAUUGCGUAGUAGCUAACACCUCGCAACUGGAGAGCGGCGCGGCCAUGCCGUAAAACACCCAACUUCUGAAUGUUGACCUCGAAUCAGGUAGGAAUACCCGCUGAACUUAAGCAUAUCAAUAAGCGGAGGAA